GUUUCUAUAGUUGAAUUACAACGGUGGUUUUUCAUGCCUCUAGUCCUGGUUAAAAUCCUGGUGGAAAUU
rnacentral:tRNA from 2 species